GAUGAAGAACGUAGCGAAAUGCGAUACUUGGUGUGAAUUGCAGAAUCCCGUGAACCAUCGAGUCUUUGAACGCAAGUUGCGCCCGAAGCCAUUAGGCCGAGGGCACGCCUGCCUGGGCGUCACACGUCGUUGCCCCCCCAUCUACUCCUUCGGGAUUGCGGGGGGCGGAUGAUGGCCUCUCGUGCGCCUCGGCGCGCGGUUGGCCUAAAUGCCAAGUCCUCGGCGACGCACGCCACGACAAUCGGUGGUUGCGAAACCUCGGUUGCCUGUCGUGUGCGGUCGUCGCGCAUCGAGGGCUCGAAAAAAUUGCCGGGCUUCGGCUCGACUUUCAACGCGACCCCAGGUCAGGCGGGGUUACCCGCUGAAUUUAAGCAUAUCAAUAAGCGGAGGA
rnacentral:misc_RNA from 1 species